AGCGAGAACGCUAAGUUUUUGUUACCUUUGAAAAGAAAAAUGUGAAGACGUAAUAUUAGCAUAUGCUAAUGUUAUUCACUCAAGCAAACAUCUCAGGUACUGACUUGCUGCUUUCUAAUAUCUGUGUUUAUUUCUGGAUAUACCUACAUGGUUAUUAGACAUCCCACAUAAAGGGUAACAAAGGCAGUAACUAUAAAUGACCAUAACUUUACUGUAAAUUACAUUGCGAUGGGCUCAAUUCAUAUAGUUCUAUCACGUGCACACGCAUGUUAGCAACCGUAACCACGGGCCGCUGUAGGUAUAUGAAUGCUGCACAAGGUUCCAGUCGUCCCUUUACACUUGCUCUUGGACUUGUCUUGACCUGCUCCAAGCUCAGCUUGUGGAUAGAUAACGUUUGGAGAAUAUUUCUACAGAAAGCGGAUUUUACUAGAAAGCGACAACAACUACUGCAUCUUUGGAUCUUUUGUACUCAUGUUUCAUCAUCACAGCAAAGCUUGAAGAUGGCUCGUCGUGGACCCCGACUCGUCGACAGUCACCUGGCUGUCUUGACUACAUUGUUGAACGUCCCGAGAACGAGGCCUUUCUGAAGUCAUGAGGAUCCUUGAUGACACUCUCCUGAGCGCCAUCUCUUCUGAUGAAGCAUGGGACACUGAAACCGAGCGUGUCAGUAAAGGCUGUCUUGACUACAUUGUUGAACGUCCCGAGAACGAGGCCUUUCUGAAGUCAUGAGGAUCCUUGAUGACACUCUCCUGAGCGCCAUCUCUUCUGAUGAAGCAUGGGACACUGAAACCGAGCGUGUCAAUAAAGGUGAGUACAUCGCCCUCUCCCCCUCCCCCUCUUCUCAUGAAGAACUGGAUGCUGAUGUGUGUCAGUGAAGUGGAAGGUGAGUACCCCCCCACCUCCCUUUCUUGCACUGAGGUCUGCUUAUUGUAAAUAUCUUGUACUUGUUUUUACACCUUUAAAGUUGACCU